AAAUUGAAGAGUUUGAUCAUGGCUCAGAUUGAACGCUGGCGGCAGGCCUAACACAUGCAAGUCGAACGGUAACAGGAAGCAGCUUGCUGCUUUGCUGACGAGUGGCGGACGGGUGAGUAAUGUCUGGGAAACUGCCUGAUGGAGGGGGAUAACUACUGGAAACGGUGGCUAAUACCGCAUAACGUCGCAAGACCAAAGAGGGGGACCUUCGGGCCUCUUGCCAUCAGAUGUGCCCAGAUGGGAUUAGCUGGUUGGUGAGGUAACGGCUCACCAAGGCGACGAUCCCUAGCUGGUCUGAGAGGAUGACCAGCCACACUGGAACUGAGACACGGUCCAGACUCCUACGGGAGGCAGCAGUGGGGAAUAUUGCACAAUGGGCGCAAGCCUGAUGCAGCCAUGCCGCGUGUAUGAAGAAGGCCUUCGGGUUGUAAAGUACUUUCAGCGGGGAGGAAGGUGUUGUGGUUAAUAACCACAGCAAUUGACGUUACCCGCAGAAGAAGCACCGGCUAACUCCGUGCCAGCAGCCGCGGUAAUACGGAGGGUGCAAGCGUUAAUCGGAAUUACUGGGCGUAAAGCGCACGCAGGCGGU
rnacentral:rRNA from 1 species